UACGAAGGGGGCUAGCGUUGCUCGGAAUCACUGGGCGUAAAGGGUGCGUAGGCGGGUCUUUUAAGUCAGGGGUGAAAUCCUGGAGCUCAACUCCAGAACUGCCUUUGAUACUGAAGAUCUUGAGUUCGGGAGAGGUGAGUGGAACUGCGAGUGUAGAGGUGAAAUUCGUAGAUAUUCGCAAGAACACCAGUGGCGAAGGCGGCUCACUGGCCCGAGUACUGACGCUGAGGCACGAAAGCGUGGGGAAGCAAACAGGGAUUAAGAAACC
rnacentral:rRNA from 1 species